GACGAACGCUGGCGGCGUGCUUAACACAUGCAAGUCGAACGGAAAGGCCCUGCUUUUGUGGGGUGCUCGAGUGGCGAACGGGUGAGUCACACGUGAGUAACCUGCCCUUGACUUUGGGAUAACUUCAGGAAACUGGGGCUAAUACCGGAUAGGAGCUCCUGCUGCAUGGUGGGGGUUGGAAAGUUUCGGCGGUUGGGGAUGGACUCGCGGCUUAUCAGCUUGUUGGUGGGGUAGUGGCUUACCAAGGCUUUGACGGGUCGCCGGCCUGAGAGGGUGACCGGCCACAUUGGGGCUGAGAUACAGCCCAGACACCUACGCGAGGCAGCGGUGGGGAAUAUUGCACAAUGGGCGGAAGCCUGAUGCAGCAACGCCGUGUGCGGGAUGACGGCCUUCGGGGUGUAAACCGCUUUCGCCGGUGACGAAGCGGGAGUGACGGUAAUGGGUAAAGAAGCACCGGCUAACUACGUG
rnacentral:rRNA from 1 species